CACGGAGUUAGCCGGUGCUUAUUCAUACAGUACCUUCAACACCCUACACGUAAAGUGGUUUAUUCCUGUAUAAAAGCAGUUUACAACCCAUAGGGCCGUCUUCCUGCACGCGGGAUGGCUGGAUCAGGCUCUCACCCAUUGUCCAAUAUUCCUCACUGCUGCCUCCCGUAGGAGUCUGGUCCGUGUCUCAGUACCAGUGUGGGGGUUCACCCUCUCAGGCCCCCUAAUGAUCAUCGUCUUGGUGAGCCGUUACCUCACCAACUAACUAAUCAUACGCAUGUCUAUCCUAUUGCGAUAAAUCUUUCAACUAAUCAUCAUGCGAUGUCUAGUAUUAUGAGGUAUUAAUCCAAAUUUCUCUGGGCUAUCCCUCUCAAUAGGCAAGUUACAUACGCGUUACGCACCCGUGCGCCGGUCUCUAUAAUCCGAAAACUAUAUACCCCUCGGCUUGCAUGUGUUAAGCCUCCCGCUAGCGUUCAUCCUGAGCCAGGAUCAAA
rnacentral:rRNA from 1 species